UUAAUAUCUCACCAAGUUAUGGGUGGAAGCUCAUAACAAGGUGGAAUUUGGAUGUUUUUGUCUCUGUACAAUCAUCUUAAAGUGAUCGUAUGUGCUUGAGUGUGCUCUGGCAGUUGGGUACCAACGUGCAACAGAUUUUAUCUUUUCGCUUUGGUAUUUAAUUGAAAUCAGGUACCUGAAGUGUAUAUUUGCUGGCUUACAGAUGUUAUGCAUAAUGCAUGUAUGGCUUCUGAUA
rnacentral:misc_RNA from 1 species